AAUAAGUAAUAUUUAAAUAUUAAAAUAUUAAAUGUUAAGUCAUUAAAUUUAAAAGAUUUGGCGGUAUUUUAUAAAAUUAGAGGAAUCUGUGAUAUAAUUGAUGAUCCACGAUAAGAAGUACUUAAUAAUUAAUGAUUUAUGUAUUGCUGUUUUAAGAAUUUAAUUAAGUUAAAAUUUAAAUUUUAUUAUUAUAAAUUAAUUCAAGUCAAAAUAUAGUUUUUUUAAGAAUUUAUGGAUUACAAUUAAUUAAAUUAAUGGAAGAAUAGAUUUAAUGUUUAUUUAUAAAUUGGAUUUAAUAGUAAAUUUAGUUAAUUAACUAAAUUGAAUUUUUAAUAAAAUGUGU
rnacentral:rRNA from 1 species